rnacentral:lncRNA from 1 species
AAAUAGUUUACAAACGCCAUAGAGAAGUUGGAAUACAGUAGGUUUAACACCAAUAUAAAUAAAGAAUGAGUUCAUUACAGUACCUUGAAGUGGUGUUUUGCUUUCUUUCGCUAACGGAGCUUACGAGAUUUCUGUUGAGUUUUGUGUUGUGAAGUUUUCAAGUUUUGGGUAAAGAUUUGAUGGACUAUGGAAUAAGGAGUGGCAAGAGCCUAAGAUUGGGGAUGCCCAUGGCACCCCAAGAUAUUUAAGAAUAGCAAAAAGUCUAAGCUUGGGGAUGCCCCGGGAAGGCAUCCCCUCUUUCGUCUUUGUUUAUCGGUAACUUUACUUGGAGCUAUAUUUUUAUUCACCACAUGAUAUGUGUUUUGCUUGGAGCGUCUUGUAUGAUAUUAUUCUUUGCUUUUUAUUUUUCCACAAUCAUCGUUGCUGUACAAACCUUUUGGGAGAUACCCACAUGAUUAGAAUUUAUUAGAAUACUCUAUGAGCUUCACUUAUAUCUUUUGAGCUAAAUAGUUUUUGCUCUAGUGCUUCACUUAUAUUUUUUAGAGCACGGCGGUGGCUUAAUUUUGAAGAAAUUGUUAGUCUCUCAUGUUUCACUUAUAUUAUUUUGAGAGUCUUUUAGAACAGCAUGGUAUUUUCUAUGGUUAUAAAAUUGGUCCUACAAUGGUAGGCAUCCAAGUUGGGUAUAAUAAAAACUAUCAUAGAAAGUGAAUUGGAUGCUAUGAUCAAUUUGAUGCUUGAUAAUUGUUUUGAGAUAUAGAAGUGGUGAUAUUAGAGUUAUGCUAGUUGGGUGAUUAUAAAUUUAAAGAAUACUUGUGUUGAAGUUUGUGAUUCCCGUAGCAUGCACAUAUGGUGAACCGCUUUGUGAUGAACUCGGAGCAUAAUUUAUUUAUUGAUUGUCUUCCUUAUGAGUGGCGAUCGGGGAUGAGCGAUGGUAUUUUGCUACCAAUCUAUCCCCCUAGGAGCAUGCGCAUAGUACUUUGUUUUUGAUGACUUGUAGAUUUCUUUGCAAUAAGUAUAUGAGUUCUUUUGACUAAUGUUGAGUCCAUGGAUUAUACACACUCUCACCCUUCCACCAUUGCUAGCCUCUCUUGUGAGGUGCAAAUUUUGCCGGUACCAUACAUCCACCAUAUACCUUCCUCAAAAUAGCCACCAUACCUACCGAUUAUGGCAUUUCCAUAGCCAUUCCGAGAUAUAUUGCCAUGCAACUUUCCACCGUACCGUUUAUAUGACACGUAUCAUCAUUGUCAUAUUGCUCUUUGCAUGAUCAUGUAGUUGGCAUCGUAUUGGUGGCAAAGCCACCUCCAUAAUGUCAUACAUGUCACUCUUGAUUCAUUGCAUAUCCCGGUACACCACCGGAGGCAUUCAUAUAGAGUCAUAUCUUGUUCUAAGUAUUGAGUUGUAAAUAAAUAAAAGUGUGAUGAUCUUCAUUAUUAGAGCAUUGUCCCAGUGAGGAAAGGAUGAUGGAGACUAUGAUUCCCCCACAAGUCGGGAUGAGACUUCGGACUAAAAAAAGAAAAAAAAAGAGAAAGGACAAAUAAAAAAAGGGAAGGCCAAAUAAAGAAAAUGAGAGAAAAGAGAGAAGGGACAAUGCUACUAUCCAUUUUACCACACUUGUGCUUCAAAGUAGCACCAUGAUCUUCAUGAUAGAGAGUCUUCUAUGUUAUCACUUUCAUAUACUAGUGGGAAUUUUCAUUAUAGAACUUGGCUUGUAUAUUCCAAUGAUGGGCUUCCUCAAAAUGCCCUAGGUCUUCUUGAGCAAGGGAGUUGGAUGCAAACCCACUUAGUUUCUUUUGUUGAGCUUUCAUACAUUUAUAGCUCUAGUGCAUCCGUUGCAUGGCAAUCCCUACUCACUCACAUUGAUAUCUAUUAAUGGGCAUCUCCAUAGCCCGUUGAUAUGCCUAGUUGAUGUGAGACUAUGUUAUUUUUUGUCUUCUCCACAACCACCAUUCUAUUCCACAUAAAGUGCUAUGUCCAUGGCUCACGCUCAUGUAUUGCGUGAAAGAUUGAAAAAGUUUGAGAUUAUUAAAGUACGAAACAAUUGCUUGGCUUGUCAUCGGGGUUGUGCAUGCUUAAAUACUUUGUGUGAUGAAGAUAGAGCAUAGCCAGACUAUAUGAUUUUGUAGGGAUAACUUUCUUUAGCCAUGCUAUUUUGAGAAGACAUGAUUACUUUGAUUAGUAUGCUUGAAGUAUUACUAUUUCUUAUGUCAAUAUGAACUUUUAUUUUGAAUCAUUUGGAUCUGAACAUUCAUGCCACAAUAAACAAAAUUACAUUGAGAAUUAUGCUAGGUAGCAUUCGACAUCGAAAAUUCUGUUUUUAUCAUUUACCUACUCGAGGACGAGCAGGAAUUAAGCUUGGGGAUGCUUGAUACGUCUCCAACGUAUCUAUAAUUUUUGAUUGUUCCAUGCUAUUAUAUUACCUGUUUUGGAUGUUUAUGGGCUUUACUUUACACUUUUAUAUCAAUUUUGGGACUAACCUACUAACCGGAGGCCCGGCCUGUAUUGCUGUUUUUUGGCUAUUUCAGUAUUUCAAAGAAAAGGAAUAUCAAACGGAGUCCAAACGGAAUGAAACCUUCGCGAGCAUGAUUUUUGGAACGAACAUGAUCCAGAGGACUUGGAUUGCACGUCAAGAAGCGAUCGAGGUGGCCACGAGAGUGGAGGGCGCGCCCUUCCCUGGUGGGCACGCCCCCUUUCUCGUGGGACCCUCGGGCAUCCACCGACCUACUUCUUCCUCCUAUAUAUACCCACGUACUCCGAAAACAUCAGAGGCGACCACGAAAAACUAUUUCCACCACUGUAACCUUCUGUAUCCACGAGAUCCCAUCUUGGAGCCUUCGCCGGCGCUCCGUCGGAGGGGGAAUCGUUCAACAUAGACCCUCCGAUGAGUUGUGAGUUGUUUACCAUAGACCAUCGGGUCCAUAGUUAUUAGCUAGAUGGCUUCUUCUCUCUCUUUGAAUCUCAAUACAAAGUUCUCCUCGAUCUUCUUGGAGAUCUAUUCGAUGUAACUCUUUUUGCGGUGUGUUUGUCGAGAUCCGAUGAAUUGUGGGUUUAUGAUCAAGUUUAUCUAUGAGAAAUAUUUGAAUCUCCUCUGAAUUAUUUUAUGUGUCAUUAAGUUAUCUUUGCAAGUCUCUUGAAAUUAUCAGUUUGGUUUGGCCUACUAGAUUUAUCUUUCUUAAUGGGAGAAGUGCUUAGCUUUGGGUUCAAUCUUGCGGUGUCCUUUCCCAGUGACAGCAGGGGCAGCAAGGCACGUAUUGUAUUGUUGCCAUUGAGGAUAAAAAGAUGGGGUUUAUAUCAUAUUGCAUGAGUUUAUCCCUCUACGUCAUGUCAUCUUUCUUAAUGCGUUACUCUGUUCUUUAUGACCUUAAUACUCUAGAUGCAUGCUGGAUAGUGGUCAAUGUGUGGAGUAAUAGUAGUAGAAGUAGGCAGGAGUCGGUCUACUUUUCACGGACGUGAUGCCUAUAUACAUGAUCAUGCCUAGAUAAUCUCAUAAUUAUUCGCUUUUCUAUCAAUUGCUCGACAGUAAUUUGUUCACCCACCGUAAUAUUUAUGCUAUCUUGAGAGAAGCCACUAGUGAAACCUAUGGCCCCCGGGUCUAUCUUUUAUCAUAUAAUUUUGCUAUCUACUUUUAUUCGCAUCUUUACUUUUCCAAUCUAUAUUAUAAAAUACCAAAAAUAUAUUUAUCUUAUCAUAUUAUCUCUAUCAGAUCUCACUUUCGCAAGUGGCCGUGAAGGGAUGGACAACCCCUUUAUUGCGUUGGUUGCGAGUUCUUUGUUUGUUUGUGUAGGUGCGUGGGACUUUUGAGGAGCCUCCUACUGGAUUGAUACCUUGGUUCUCAAAAACUGAGGGAAAUACUUACGCUACCGUGCUGCAUCACCCUUUCCUCUUCAAGGAAAACCAACGCAAGCUCAAGACGUAGCAAGAAGGAUUUCUGGCGCCGUUGCCUGGGAGGCUUCCACCAAGUCAAGUCAAGAUUCGACCUACCGCCGACGUGCGAUUUCUGGCGCCGUUGCCGGGGAGGUCUUCACUCAAGUCAAGACAUACCAAGUACCCAUCACAAACUCAUCUCCCUCGCAUUUACAUUAUUUGCCAUUUGCCUCUCGUUUUCCUCUCCCCCACUUCACCCUUGCCGUUUUAUUCUCCCUCUCUUUCCCAAUCUCCUCUCUCUUUUGCUUGCCUUUUGUUUCCUCGUGUGUUGGAUUGCGUGUUGCCAUGGCGCAAGAUAAUACCAAGUUGUGUGAUUUUUCCAAUACCAAUAACAACGAUUUCCUUAGCACUCCAAUUGCCCCUCUUAAUGAUGAUGAAUCUUGUGAAAUCAAUGCUGCUUUGCUGAAUCUUGUUAUGAAAGAUCAAUUCUCUGGCCUUCCUAGUGAAGAUGUCGCUACCCAUCUAAACAAUUUAUUGAUUUGUGUGAGAUGAAAAAGAAGAAAGAUACAGAUAAUGAUAUUGUUAAAUUGAAGUUAUUUCCCGUUUCACUUAGAGAUCGUGCUAAAUUUUGGUUUUCGUCUUUGCCUAAGAAUAGUAUUGAUUCAUGGAAUAAGUGCAAAGAUUCUUUUAUCUCUAAAUAUUUUCCUCCCGCUAAGAUCAUCUCUCUUAGGAAUGAAAUUAUGAAUUUUAAACAACUUGAUCACGAGCAUGUUGCUCAAUCUUGGGAAAGAAUGAAAUUGAUGAUUCGCAAUUGCCCUACUCAUGGUUUGAAUUUAUGGAUGAUCAUACAAAAAUUUUAUGUCGGCUUGAAUUUUGCUUCUAGAAAUCUUUUAGAUUCGGCCGUGGGAGGCACGUUUAUGGAAAUCACCUUAGGAGAAGCUACUAAACUCCUUGAUAAUAUUAUGGCUAAUUAUUCUCAAUGGCACACCGAAAGAUCUACUAGUAAAAAAGUGCAUGCUAUAGAAGAAAUUAAUGUUUUGAGUGGAAAGAUGGAUGAACUCAUGAAAUUGUUUGCUGCUAAGAGUGUUUCUAUUGAUCCCAAUGAUAUGCCUUUGUCUACUUUGAUUGAGAAUAAUAAUGAAUCUAUGGAUGUUAAUUAUGUUGGUAGGAAUAAUUUUGGUAACAAUGCUUAUAGAGGAAACUUCAAUCCUAGACCGUUCCCUAGUAAUCCCUCUAAUAAUUAUGGAAAUUCCUACAAUAAUUCUUAUGAUAAUUUUAAUAAGAUACCCUCUGAUUUUGAGAAUAGUGUGAAAGAAUUUAUGAUCUCUCAAAAGAAUUCUAAUGCCUUGCUUGAAGAAAAAUUGCUUAGUUGAUGAUUUGGCUAGGAACGUUGAUAGACUUUCGCCUGAUGUUGGUUCUUUGAAACUUAGAUCUACUCCUCCUAAGCAUGAUAUCAAUGAGUCCCUCAAGGCUAUGAGGACUUCCAUUGAUGAGUGCAAAGAAAGAACCGCUAGAUUGCGUGCUAAGAAAGAUUGCUUUAUAAAGGCGUGUUCUUCUAGUUUCCAUGAAAAUAAUGAUGAAGAUCUUAAAGUUAUUGAUGUGUCCCCUAUUAUAUCAUUGUUUUGCAAUAUUAAUCUUAAUAAUGAUGGGACUGGAGAUGAGUCAACUUUAGUUAAAAGGCGUCCUAAUGAUUCGGAGUUUUUAGAUCUUAAUGCUAAAUUUGGUAAAAGUGGGAUUGAAUAGGUCAAGACUUUAAAAACCGUUGAACUCACUAUCUUGGAUUUUAAGGAGUAAAUUAUGAUAAUUGUUCUUUAAAAGAUUGUAUUUCCUUGUUGCAAUCCAUUGUGAAUUCUCCUCAUGCUUAUAGUCAAAAUAAAGCCUUUACCAAACACAUUGUUGAUGCCUUGAUGCAAUCUUAUGAUGAAAAACUUAAUUUGGAAGUAUCUAUACCUAGAAAACUUUAUGAUGAAUGGGAACCUACUAUAAAGAUUAAAAUUAAAGAUCAUGAGUGCUUUGCUUUAUGUGAUUUGGGUGCUAGUGUUUCCACGAUUCCGAAAACUUUAUGUGAUAUUAUAGGUUUCCGUGAUCUUGAUGAUUGCUCUUUAAAUUUGCAACUUGCGGUUUCCACUAUUAAAAAGCCUAUGGGAAGAAUCAAUGAUGUUCUUACUGUUGCAAAUAAGAAUUUGGUGCCCGUAGAUUUUAUCGUUCUUGAUAUAGAUUGCAAUCUUGCUUGUCCUAUUAUUCUUGGUAGACCUUUCCUUAGAACGAUUGGUGCGAUUAUUGAUAUGAAGGAAGGGAAUAUUAGAUUCCAAUUUCCAUUAAGGAAAGGCAUGGAACACUUUCCAAGAAAGAAAGUCAAAUUACCUUAUGAAUCUAUCAUGCGAGCUACUUAUGAAUUGAGUGCGAAAGGUGGCACUACUUAGAUCUAUCCUUGUUUUUAUGCCUAGCUAGGGGCGUUAAACGAUAGCGCUAGUUGGGAGGCAACCCAGUUUUCUUUGUGUUUUUUUGUUUUUGUUUCUGUUUAGUAAUAAAUUUAUCAUCUACCUUCUGUUUAGAUGUGUUUUAUGUUUUAAUUAGUGUUUGUGCCAAGUAAGACCUAUAGGAUUUUCUUGGAUGACAAAUAUUUGAUCUUGCUGAAAAUUCCAGAAACUUUCUGUUCACGAAAAAAUUUGUUUAAAAUCACCAGAACGUGAUAAAAUACUGAUUCCAAUUGCAGUAGAUCAAUAAACAAAUUAUCUAGGUCGUCCUAUUUUGUUGGAUUUUUCUGAGUUCCAGAAGUUUGCGUUAGUUACGGAUUACUACAGACGUUUCUGUUUUUGACAGAUUCUGUUUUUCGUGUGUUGUUUGCUUAUUUUGAUGCAUCUAUGGCUAGUAAAAUAGUUUAUAAACCAUAGAUAAGUUGGAAUACAGUAGGUUUAACACCAAUAUAAGUAAACAAUGAGUUCAUUACAGUACCUUGAAGUGGUGUUUUGCUUUCUUUCGCUAACGGAGCUUACGAGAUUUCUGUUGAGUUUUGUGUUGUGAAGUUUUCAAGUUUUGGGUAAAGAUUUGAUGGACUAUGGAAUAAGGAGUGGCAAG